UGGGGAAUCUUAGACAAUGGUGGAAACCCUGAUCUAGCCAUGCCGCGUGAGUGACGAAGGCCCUAGGGUCGUAAAGCUCUUUCGCCAGGGAAGAUAAUGACGGUACCUGGUAAAGAAACCCCGGCUAUCGCCGUGCCAGCAGCCGCGGUAAUUCGGAGGGGGUUAGCGUUGUUCGGAAUUACUGGGCGUAAAGCGCACGUAGGCGGACCAGUCAGUCAGAGGUGAAAUCCCGGGGCUCAAUCUCGGAACUGCCUUUGAUACUGCUGGUCUCGAGUUCGAGAGAGGUGAGUGGAAUUCCGAGUGUAGAGGUGAAAUUCGUAGAUAUUCGGAGGAACACCAGUGGCGAAGGCGGCUCACUGGCUCGAUACUGACGCUGGGGUGCGAAAGCGUGGGGAGCAAACAGGAUUAGAUACCCGCGUAGUCC
rnacentral:rRNA from 1 species